rnacentral:rRNA from 1 species
UACGUAGGGUGCGAGCGUUAAUCGGAAUUACUGGGCGUAAAGGGCGCGUAGGCGGCGUUUUAAGUCGGGGGUGAAAGCCUGUGGCUCAACCACAGAAUGGCCUUCGAUACUGGGACGCUUGAGUAUGGUAGAGGUUGGUGGAACUGCGAGUGUAGAGGUGAAAUUCGUAGAUAUUCGCAAGAACACCGGUGGCGAAGGCGGCCAACUGGACCAUUACUGACGCUGAGGCGCGAAAGCGUGGGGAGCAAACAGG